ACAUCCUGGGUUCUCUUUAAAUGGCAAAUCUUUCGCCUUUUACUAAAGUUUUCCGUGGAGAGGAACAUUAUGAGUUUUAGCAAAUUUGAUGUCCGGUCAUAUGGUUGGGCU